UACGUAGGUGGCAAGCGUUAUCCGGAAUUAUUGGGCGUAAAGCGCGCGCAGGCGGUUUCUUAAGUCUGAUGUGAAAGCCCACGGCUCAACCGUGGAGGGUCAUUGGAAACUGGGGAACUUGAGUGCAGAAGAGAAAAGCGGAAUUCCACGUGUAGCGGUGAAAUGCGUAGAGAUGUGGAGGAACACCAGUGGCGAAGGCGGCUUUUUGGUCUGUAACUGACGCUGAGGCGCGAAAGCCAGGGGAGCGAACGGG
rnacentral:rRNA from 1 species